CAGGGAUUGCCUUAGUAACGGCGAGUGAAGCGGCAAUAGCUCAAAUUUGAAAUCUGGCGCUUGCGUCCGAGUUGUAAUUUGUAGAGGAUGAUUUUGGUUAGGUACCUUUCGAGUUCCUUGGAACAGGACGCCUUAGAGGGUGAGAGCCCCGUACGAUUGGAUGCCGAGCCUCUGUAAAUCUCCUUCGACGAGUCGAGUAGUUUGGGAAUGCUGCUCUAAAUGGGAGGUAAAUUUCUUCUAAAGCUAAAUACCGGCCAGAGACCGAUAGCGCACAAGUAGAGUGAUCGAAAGAUGAAAAGCACUUUGAAAAGAGGGUUAAAUAGCACGUGAAAUUGUUGAAAGGGAAGGAUUUAUGACCAGACUUUUUCUAGGAGGAUCAUCCGGUGUUCUCACCGGUGCACUUCUUCUAGUUUAGGCCAGCAUCGACUUUCGGCGGCGGAUAAAAGCUUCAGGAAUGUAGCUCUCCUCGGAGAGUGUUAUAGCCUGUUGUAUAAUACGCUGCUGGGGGUCGAGGUACGCGCUUCUGCAAGGAUGCUGGCGUAAUGGUUAUCAAUCACCCGUCUUGAAACACGGACCAAGGAGUCGAACAUUUAUGCGAGUGUUUGGGUGUUAAACCCUCACGCGUAAUGAAAGUGAACGGAGGUGAGAGCCCUUACGGGUGCAUCAUCGACCGAUCCUGAAGUUUUCGGAUGGAUUUGAGUAAGAGCAUAACUGUUCGGACCCGAAAGAUGGUGAACUAUGCGUGGAUAGGGUGAAGCCAGAGGAAACUCUGGUGGAGGCUCGCAGCGGUUCUGACGUGCAAAUCGAUCGUCAAAUCUGCGCAUGGGG
rnacentral:rRNA from 1 species